UGCAUUUGAAGUGGUAAAAUCUAGUCAAUAUUGGUUUCUAAGCCAAAAUUAAGUCUCCCAAAUCAAAAGAUGAGUCUGAAUCUCUUAAAUUUACUCAAAAGAAUCUGAUUAACAAGGUUUGCAUGGAAGAAGCCCUGAACAUAAUCUUGACCUGUACAAUUUGUUUGGAAGUUUUUCUUAUUACCUAGAACUAUGAUAGGUCUAUAGUUUUUACUGCAACAUUUUCUCAGGCCUUGGCCAAUAUUGGAGUAGUUUAAAUCAUUUUGACUGGUAUAUGAUCAAAACUGAAUCAUGAUAUAUUCGAUUCCAGAUAUAUACUAAUUCGGAACUUUCAUUGAGGUAUUGCUCCCCUCCACUGCUUCAAAGCAAUAAAAUGUCAAUAAAGAAUUAGUGACUGCACCUGUAUGUACUAUAAGAAAGUCAAGCAGGUUGCAAGUUUCUUAUAUUUGCGCAUCAUCAGCCAAUCAUAGAUGCGAUACAUGAGUGGCUUCUUAAGAAAAAAGUGGGUUGCAUCUGGAUUGAUGGAGGUACACCCAGUGCAUGGUGCAUGAAGGCAACAAUUGGUUACAGAUUUUUAGGAAAAGGAUUAUAUCAAAGCGGCUGUGCUAUCCAUUAAAGCUGGGGGAGUUGGAUUAACUUUAACUGCUGCAAGCUUUGCAGAACAAUCCUGGACUCCAGGUGACCUUAUUCAGGUCAAAGAUCGUGCUCAUAGAAUUGGCCUGGUAUUCUCACACUCAUUAAGUAGAAAGGAGAGAGUUGUUACUAGUUGCAUGACAACAUUAAGAAAACAGAUAAUCUCAAAUGAAAAGAACUCUCACAUCUAAAUUUUUGAGUAGCAAAGACAUGUGCUCUUCUGUUUUUUUGACUAGUUAGUUCUUGUUUGCAGGUCUCAUCAGUAAAUAUAUACUAAUUGUUGGCAAAUGAUACGGUUCACGACAUCAUAUGAUCGAAAUUUUUACAUCUUAGGGAUGUGGUGUAAUUCAAACCGGAUAAUUUGGGGGCAGAUGUUAGAUGGCCAUGAGAACACCUUAGUUGUGCCAAAUAAUCAGCCAUUGAGUAGCCCUGCAAAGCAUACUACUAUUGAGCAUAGCCCUUCAAGGCAGAGAACUCUUGACCAGUUUGUUAGAAGAUGUGAUAACGUGGAUAGGUCAGAAGUCGGAACAUCAGCCUGAACCGAAACGGCCCUGUCAGUCAUGACUUGCAAGAUGCAAAAUGGAUUUCCAUUUUCACAGAUACGUGGCCAGGGGCAAGUGAAUUGGAACUUAAAUGUUUAUGUCUACAUGCAGAACCAGAUGUGCUUACAUGGGGAAUUCACCUUUGAUGACUCAAAUGCCUUUUGAAGCUGAAAUUCAUUGUACAACAAAUAAUAGAUUUUGAAUAGAACUGACUACACUAAACUAUGUUGCUUGUGCUGGAGAUAAUGGUUUGGUUAUGUGAAAUAUGUAUUGGAAGAAAAUGUUGAUAAAGUCACCCAUCAGAUUUUAGGUUUCCACUUCUUGUUCUUAACUUUUUGCUUCCCUGUCUUUUGUUUUAGUUUGGGGCUCUGUACAGAGUAGUACAUUAUCAUAUAUGAAUGAGACUUGUAAAUUUCUUUACUCCA